GUACUGGUAAUACGGUAAAUAUUAUGUAUUUGUCGUUGUUACGAAACAUAAAUAAGGUAAGCACAUAUAGUUGGGGUUCAACUGUUUUGUCCCAUCUAUAUAGUUCGUUGUGUAAAAAUGAAAAAAAAAAAAAAAAAAAAAAAAAAAUACUUGUACGUUUUAUUCUUGCGCCUAUUUGCUACAAGCAUGAGGUUGGUCAAGAAUGUCGUCAC
rnacentral:lncRNA from 1 species